UUCAAAAUUUUUAACGUUCUUAUACACUGACUCUAUGGGGUAUAUGGCGGUGCCACGAAGGCGUCGGAAUUAUCGGGCAUGUCCGAAAAAUUGGGUGUUCACAAAAUCGGUCGUUGAUUGUAAUGAAGUAAUUCUGGCUCUGUGUUCAACUUUGUUGCAAUGUAAUGAUGUUUU
rnacentral:lncRNA from 1 species